rnacentral:rRNA from 1 species
UACGUAGGUGGCAAGCGUUGUCCGGAUUUACUGGGUGUAAAGGGCGUGCAGCCGGAGAGACAAGUCAGAUGUGAAAUCCACGGGCUCGACCCGUGAACUGCAUUUGAAACUGUUUCCCUUGAGUGUCGGAGAGGUAAUCGGAAUUCCUUGUGUAGCGGUGAAAUGCGUAGAUAUAAGGAAGAACACCAGUGGCGAAGGCGGAUUACUGGACGAUAACUGACGGUGAGGCGCGAAAGCGUGGGGAGCAAACAGG